CCUACGGGAGGCAGCAGUGAGGAAUAUUGGUCAAUGGACGAGAGUCUGAACCAGCCAAGUAGCGUGAAGGAUGACUGCCCUAUGGGUUGUAAACUUCUUUUAUAUGGGAAUAAAAUGUUCCACGUGUGGGAUUUUGUAUGUACCAUAUGACUAAGGAUCGGCUAACUACGUGCCAGCAGCCGCGGUAAUACGGAGGAUCCGAGCGUUAUCCGGAUUUAUUGGGUUUAAAGGGAGCGUAGGUGGAUUGUUAAGUCAGUUGUGAAAGUUUGCGGCUCAACCGUAAAAUUGCAGUUGAAACUGGCAGUCUUGAGUACAGUAGAGGUGGGCGGAAUUCGUGGUGUAGCGGUGAAAUGCUUAGAUAUCACGAAGAACUCCGAUUGCGAAGGCAGUUCACUGGACUGCAACUGACACUGAGGCUCGAAAGUGUGGGUAUCAAACAGGAUUAGAUACCCCAGUAGUC
rnacentral:rRNA from 1 species